rnacentral:tRNA from 1 species
ACUGUUAUGGUGUAUAUAACACAUUACAUUUUCAUUGUAAAGAAAAGAUUUUUUUCUUUAAAAGUU